rnacentral:rRNA from 1 species
UGAGGAAUAUUGGUCAAUGGGCGCAACCNUGAACCAGCCAUGCCGCGUGCAGGAUGACGGUCCUAUGGAUUGUAAACUGCUUUUGUACGGGAAGAAACACUCCUACGUGUAGGAGCCUGACGGUACCGUAAGAAUAAGGAUCGCUAACUCCGUG